GGGUACGCAACUGACCCGAUCGUUAUAUCUGGAGAUGAAAAUAAAGGGUCCGACGACCAAAAUGUGAAUCUCUGUUACGUCCCUGUGAAGGCUGAGGAACUUGAAGAAGAAGAGAAACGGCGAGAGCCGAUGAACAAGGCCGUGUCGGCUGUGGGGGUUCAAGAAGAAAACAAUGAAGUGCAGAAACUGUCUGAGGAGCUCAUGGUUUACGAGAAUUACAUGAAAUUUUAUCAAAUACCUUAUCUGGACGGGGAAUCGCCGACCCAAAACGGCGUAGCUCCGCAGGAUAGUGUCGUCGGUGAACUUUGGAGCUUCGACGAUGAUGGCGUUGCUGCUCCGGAGACAUCAACGGCCAUGUGAGCCGA
rnacentral:lncRNA from 1 species